rnacentral:rRNA from 1 species
GACGAACGCUGGCGGCGUGCCUAAUACAUGCAAGUAGGACGCACAGUUUAUACCGUAGCUUGCUACACCAUAGACUGUGAGUUGCGAACGGGUGAGUAACGCGUAGGUAACCUACCUAUUAGAGGGGGAUAACUAUUGGAAACGAUAGCUAAUACCGCAUAACAGUAUGUAACACAUGUUAGAUGCUUGAAAGAUGCAAUUGCAUCGCUAGUAGAUGGACCUGCGUUGUAUUAGCUAGUAGGUAGGGUAAAGGCCUACCUAGGCAACGAUACAUAGCCGACCUGAGAGGGUGAUCGGCCACACUGGGACUGAGACACGGCCCAGACUCCUACGGGAGGCAGCAGUAGGGAAUCUUCGGCAAUGGGGGGAACCCUGACCGAGCAACGCCGCGUGAGUGAAGAAGGUUUUCGGAUCGUAAAGCUCUGUUGUUAAGGAAGAACGAGUGUGAGAAUGGAAAGUUCAUGCUGUGACGGUACUUAACCAGAAAGGGACGGCUAACUACGUGCCAGCAGCCGCGGUAAUACGUAGGUCCCGAGCGUUGUCCGGAUUUAUUGGGCGUAAAGCGAGCGCAGGCGGUUAGAAAAGUCUGAAGUGAAAGGCAGUGGCUCAACCAUUGUAGGCUUUGGAAACUGUUUAACUUGAGUGCAGAAGGGGAGAGUGGAAUUCCAUGUGUAGCGGUGAGAUGCGUAGAUAUAUGGAGGAACACCGGUGGCGAAAGCGGCUCUCUGGUCUGUAACUGACGCUGAGGCUCGAAAGCGUGGGGAGCGAACAGG